rnacentral:rRNA from 1 species
UCAGAACGAACGCUGGCGGCAGGCUUAACACAUGCAAGUCGAACGCCCCGCAAGGGGAGUGGCAGACGGGUGAGUAACGCGUGGGAAUCUACCCUUUUCUACGGAACAACUGAGGGAAACUUCAGCUAAUACCGUAUACGGCCGAGAGGCGAAAGAUUUAUCGGAGAAGGAUGAGCCCGCGUUGGAUUAGCUAGUUGGUGGGGUAAAGGCCUACCAAGGCGACGAUCCAUAGCUGGUCUGAGAGGAUGAUCAGCCACACUGGGACUGAGACACGGCCCAGACUCCUACGGGAGGCAGCAGUGGGGAAUAUUGGACAAUGGGCGCAAGCCUGAUCCAGCCAUGCCGCGUGAGUGAUGAAGGCCCUAGGGUUGUAAAGCUCUUUCACCGGUGAAGAUAAUGACGGUAACCGAGAGA